rnacentral:misc_RNA from 1 species
UAGCGACAUCACACCCUCCCCAGCGGUCCCUCGCCGUGAUCGCCAACGCCACUGCUCCUGUGGUGGCCAGUAGCAACUGGGUCUCUCCUCUCCUCUUGCUAGCGCCCCUCUCCUGCCCCUCCCCCAUUCUCUUUUCCCUUCUCAAUCGGCGUCUAUUACGUUAAAGUCGUGUCUGUCUUCUUCCGUGUGCAGCACGUCACAGCUGCACGUCUUUGUUGUACAUCCCCCCACCACCACCACCCGCACACCCUUCCCUCUUAUCGCCUCUUGUACGCCUGUGGUGUGCGUUGCCGCUCCUUGAUUUUGUUUUAGUGCCCCCUUCCCCCCUUGUCUCACCACGCCAUUUUCUCUUUCCGUCUGGCCACCUGUGCUUUCUGCCACUGCGUCGUCUUCUGUAUGUAUGUGUGUUGACCGCUGAACCUCCCCCUUCCUCUCCUCUUACGCACUGUGUCUCGCGGCUGCUUUUAUCCUCUGUGGCAGUUGCCCCUCCGCCCUCGUGAAGCUCCGCUCGCGUCCUCCUUGCCCGAAUUAUUCUGAACUCUCUUCGUUUCUCGCUCGCUCCCCUCAUCGCCCCCUCUCCGAACCCCCUUCGUUGCGCCGCGGCAAAAAUGCAGUCCAUCAUCGUGAACCUUCUCUCGGACAUCUUCACAGUCCAGCGCGACACCUUUCUCGGUCGCCUGAUGCCAUGGUUCGCCGGCGGCAUCGUCGCCUUCGUUGCCUUCCCGUGGGUGAUGAUGGUGUUGUAUGGGCUGUACUUUGGCAUCUUCCUGCGGCCGAAGGAGCAGGCCGCCAUGUCGCUCUCGCCGCUCCUCACGUUCUUGUACUUUCUAACGGACGAGGCCACGCCAGGCUUCGACCAGCGCCUCAUGCGGCUGUUCCACCCGAGUCUGCUGGAGGAGGAGAAGGACGGCGGCUCUGUGCAGCGUGGCCUCAUACGGGCCAUGUCGCGCUGCCUCAUCGACAAGUUCGGGAAGGUGGCCAACAUACCCCGCGACACGGUGGUGUUGAAGCGCGAGGGCAACGACGUGAACUGCAUGGCCCUCGUCGACUUUGAGAAGGUAAAGCAAGUCCGCUGUCAGCUGUCGUGGAAGCGCCGGCCUGGAGUGGUGAAGCGCUACCGCGAGAAGACGGGCCGGUACCCGGCUCGCUCAGAGAAGGAGUCGUUCGUGCUCAACGGCAUUGGCAUCGCCUUCCCCUACACGUUUCAGGUGACAAGCUUCCACAUUGACCCGAAGAAGGGGGACGAGUUCAACAUUCUUAAGUACGUCCGGCUCGUGGACUUCGACGACUUUGGGGAGCUGUUUGUGCGCCGCCUCUUCGAGAAGCCGCCGCGGGCGGCCGUGUCGAUGAUGGUCCAGUCGCUGAAGGAGAAGUACUCGAGCGGCGAGGCACUAGCGACGCUGCAGGACUCUGUGCAGAAGGUGGUCGAUGCAUGCGGUGGGCUGGCGUCGUCGCUGGGCAGCCUGACUGUGGAGCAGACUUCCUACAAGGCCGUCUACGCCCCAGUCCCAGAGGAGGCGGAACCUCUGCCAGGCGAGCCCCAGACAGAGAAUGAGGAUGGCCGAAAGGCACCGGCGAUCGACGGCGUGGACAUGGAGUACCUCGUGGAAGGGGUCACGCGCAACGUCGAGGCGUACCUCCGCCUUACCUUCUCCGGACUGAAGGCGCUGGUCACUCGGUACGAGCUGCGGCUGCUGCCAGACGAGCUGGCGCAGGUGGUGGUGGACCAUGACACGGGCAAAUCGAUCAUUGUCGGGUAGAGGCUGUCCCCCGGUCCGCCUGUCAGUUCGUCUCUCUCCGUGGGUGUGCCUGCGCCUUCCUCUCUCACUCCUCUACACAUGAACUGCUCAGCCACCCCACGGCUGUUUCCAGCUUGGCAGUCCCUCUGUAAACCGCGCUUGAGCCAUUGGUCUCCAGAUGACCUUCAAGCCAGUAACCCCCUCCCCCAAAGAAGAAAUAUAGGUGUGGCCUUCUUCUAAUGUUGCCCGCUGCCCUCACGUAAGUGUUCAUGUCUGUGGGUGCAUGUCUUUGUGGACUCCCGCGCGAGCACCGCCCUCCUUCUCG